rnacentral:lncRNA from 1 species
UGGCCUGUCCCUGCCCUCCAGCCAGAGACCAUCAGGAACACACCGGUGCUUAAACAAGAACCAUGUGGAAGGGAUAUAAAUAUCCCCCAGGAGGGACUCCAGUGGAAGUAAGCAAGGAUGAUCCUGGUGAAGUAAUGCAGCUGUGAAGCUCACCUGACCAGCUGUACAGUUCCUGUUGUUGGUUUCGCAUAAAGUAAUUGCACAUCAU